CCUACGGGAGGCAGCAGUGGGGGAUAUUGCACAAUGGGGGGAACCCUGAUGCAGCGACGCCGCGUGGGUGAAGAAGCGCCUCGGCGCGUAAAGCCCUGUCAGCAGGGAAGAAAAUGACGGUACCUGAAGAAGAAGCCCCGGCUAACUACGUGCCAGCAGCCGCGGGAAUACGUAGGGGGCAAGCGUUAUCCGGAUUUACUGGGUGUAAAGGGGGCGCAGACGGCGAUGCAAGCCAGGAGUGAAAGCCCGGGGCCCAACCCCGGGACUGCUCUUGGAACUGCGUGGCUGGAGUGCAGGAGGGGCAGGCGGAAGUCCUGGGGUAGCGGUGAAAUGCGUAGAUAUCAGGAGGAACACCGGUGGCGAAGGCGGCCUGCUGGACUGCAACUGACGUUGAGGCCCGAAAGCGUGGGGAGCAAACAGGAUUAGAUACCCCAGUAGUC
rnacentral:rRNA from 1 species